GGGGGAUUAGGUUGGUUGCCGCCGCCACAGACGAGCCCCUUUUGUGCAUGAGCGUUGGCAAUCUCUCCAGGCAGAAUGGAUGAAAGUGAUAGUCCGAGGAGUUUCUUCGUCAAACAAGAAGGAUAAUACUUGUGUGCAAGAUUCAAAGCUGUGAUGAUGACGGUGCCAGCACGCACUCUGUGCCUAGCAAUGUUAAAGAAUGGGCGGUAUGUUUGAUGCUAUCCUCUCUCUUCUUUUGUUGCUGGGAUAUAUGUGAAUAAGUUAUGUGGAUAAACUUUUGACAUGCCAAUAAGUUGUGUCACGCAGAUUAUUUUGUGCCAAUAAGUUAGGCAAAAAGAGUGCAUCUUCUAAGUAAUGCACAUAAAUUAAUAGUCAUGCCAAUAAUUCUCAUAAGUAGUAGUGUGUAUAAGUUGUCUAGAAUGAGUUAAUUAUGCACAAAGAUUUUGUGUCAAAUAAGUUGCAUGUAUAAGUUUUUCUAUAAUGUUUUGGUUCUGGGUACAACUUA